rnacentral:tRNA from 1 species
GGAUAUCGCUCAAUGGAUAGAGCGCUUGCUUAGCAUGCACAAGGUCCUGGGUUCAAUCCCCAGAACCA